GAAUUGCAGAAUCCCGUGAACCAUCGAGUCUUUGAACGCAAGUUGCGCCCAAAGCCAUUAGGCCGAGGGCACGUCUGCCUGGGCGUCACGUAUCGCGUCGCCACCCCAACCCCGCACACGUAUACCGUGCUGCGGGGCAUCAUGUGGGGGCGGAUAUUGGCCUCCCGUGCGCUUCGCCGCGGUUGGCCUAAAAGCGAGCCCCGGGUGACAGAACGUCACGAUAAGUGGUGGUUGAUAAGCCCCGGCCCUUCAAGUGUCAUGUCGUGCGUUGCCCUGUCGCUCGUUGGAGCUACGAGACCCCGAUGCGUCGUCCCCGACGAUGCUUCCAUCGCGACCCCA
rnacentral:rRNA from 1 species